rnacentral:rRNA from 1 species
CCCGUGAUCCGGGUUGCGGACAGUGUCUGGUGGGUAGUUUGACUGGGGCGGUCUCCUCCUAAAGAGUAACGGAGGAGCACGAAGGUUGGCUAAUCCUGGUCGGACAUCAGGAGGUUAGUGCAAUGGCAUAAGCCAGCUUGACUGCGAGCGUGACGGCGCGAGCAGGUGCGAAAGCAGGUCAUAGUGAUCCGGUGGUUCUGAAUGGAAGGGCCAUCGCUCAACGGAUAAAAGGUACUCCGGGGAUAACAGGCUGAUACCGCCCAAGAGUUCAUAUCGACGGCGGUGUUUGGCACCUCGAUGUCGGCUCAUCACAUCCUGGGGCUGAAGUAGGUCCCAAGGGUAUGGCUGUUCGCCAUUUAAAGUGGUACGCGAGCUGGGUUUAGAACGUCGUGAGACAGUUCGGUCCCUAUCUGCCGUGGGCGCUGGAGAACUGAGGGGGGCUGCUCCUAGUACGAGAGGACCGGAGUGGACGCAUCACUGGUGUUCGGGUUGUCAUGCCAAUGGCACUGCCCGGUAGCUACAUGCGGAAGAGAUAAGUGCUGAAAGCAUCUAAGCACGAAACUUGCCCCGAGAUGAGUUCUCCCUGAGACUUUAGGUCUCCUGAAGGAACGUUGAAGACGACGACGUUGAUAGGCCGGGUGUGUAAGCGCAGCGAUGCGUUGAGCUAACCGGUACUAAUGAACCGUGAGGCUUAACCUUACAACGCCGAAG